UGGGGAAUCAUGGUCAAUGGGCGAAAGCCUGAACCUGCGACGCCGCGUGAGUGAUGAAGGUCGUAAGAUCGUAAAACUCUUUUCAGGGAUCUUAAAGCACAGCUGUCAACAACAGCUGUGUGUGACUCUCCCUGGAAGAAGCCCCAGCCAACUACGUGCCAGCAGCUGCGGUAAUACGUAGGGGGCGAGCGUAAUUCGGAAUUACUGGGGGUAAAGGGUAUGUAGGCGGCCCUUCAAGUCGCGUGUCAAAGUCCAGUGCUCAACGCUGG
rnacentral:rRNA from 1 species